UACGUAGGUGGCAAGCGUUGUCCGGAUUUACUGGGCGUAAAGCGUAUGCAGGCGGAGCGUUAAGUAGGAAGUGAAAGGUUGGGGCUCAACCCCAACACUGCUCCCUAUACUGGCGUUCUGGAGGCCGGAGAGGACAAGGGAACUGCACGGUGUAGCGGUGAAAUGCGUUGAGAUGUGCAGGAACACCAAUGGCGAAGGCAGCUUGCUGGGCAUUUUCUGACGCUAAGGCACGAAAGCGUGGGGAGCGAACAGG
rnacentral:rRNA from 1 species